UAAACCUUAAUCAUGAGAGUCCCCUAUAUAUAGGGCCCAAACAAGAACAAUUAAUAUAAAACCCCUUACACAAAAAUAAUUCCUAAUAAAGCCCAAAAUAACAUAAGUAAAGUCCUUCAACAAUAAAAUACAAACAAGCCAAGAAAUAAAAUAAAAUGCAAAUAAGAUGAUGGACUAGACGGGCGGAUGAUCAGCUCAGAUGUCCCCAUCACAAUAUAUGCCUUUGUAAUUAUCAUUGAUUAAACCAUGUCUAUAUGUUGACAUGUGAUUGUUAUAUUCUGAGAGGUUAGUAGGUCCAUUUUCGUUGAUAUUUAUAUUGUUUAGCCAUUCUAUGUUGGCUGAGAUGGGUGAUGGAAAUUGUCAAGUUAAGAUCUGACCGGUCACCUGCAAAAUAGGUUGUUUGUCCAAAAUGAUCUGCAGAUUGCUUGGCUGUGUAUCGGUAACCAUACAUUCCUCAAGACAGUAAUCCACCUCCACCAUGCAUUAGGUUGCAGGUCAGAUCAUCUCCAGAGUACUGCUAGCCCAGUCCACAAGCAUGCAUGCGCAUAGGACACCCUAAGAGCAAACACCGAGCAACCCCUCAAGGACCACACACGGUCUGCAGUCCGCUAUGGUCCCAAAAAAAAAAAAAUUUCUUGAUGCAAGUGGGAUGAACCUUUAGGUAGGCCAAAUUAAAUUAAAAGUGCCCACUAAAAGGGAUUGCCCCAAGAUUCAUACAAGGGAUUACACUCACCUAACCCAGGUGGAGAGCAUAGACACCCAUUCCAAGGUGUGUAUUCAGGUCUCAAGUCAAAUAGGAUCAACUUAGAUGACCUCAAAGUCCAACUAAAUGGUGGGAAGGAUAGGUCUAAUUGGUCCAAUAAGAGUUAAAAGAGUUUAAUUGAAGAUAUGCUCACGUUAAGUUCAUCAUUACAUGGAACCAAUUCCUAAUAUUGUGUCACAUUAGCAAAAAUUUAAUUUUAUUCCAUUUAAGCAUAUGGUUCUAGGAUUUAUUAACCAUUUAAGUAUUAAACUUAGUUAACACAAAAAGGAUUAUAGUCAAUAAAUUUACUAGUUUGCUGCUAUGGGCAUUAGGACGGCAUACUAACCAGUCUUCCCUUACAUUCAUGUCAAAUCUAAAAUGGCUUUUAAUUCAUUAAAUUUGGACAAAAUUUCGGCAGCAUAUCCCUUUAGAUAUCUGUAAGUAAGAGCAUGGAGUAGGAGAAUAAGGCAGAAAGGACAUAAGAAAGUGGGACAGCUUGCUGAAAUUUCUGCAGAGAUUUUCCUCUAAUUUCUUUUGGCUCUAAUCUCUCUCUGACAUAGAGAGAAUUGGGCUUAUAUUAAGCCCGUAGCAGCUGUCUGGGCAGCUGUCAACCCUUAGAAGAAAUGGCUUAUUUU
rnacentral:lncRNA from 1 species